rnacentral:rRNA from 1 species
UACGUAGGGGGCAAGCGUUGUCCGGAAUCAUUGGGCGUAAAGAGCGUGUAGGCGGCCCGGUAAGUCCGCUGUGAAAGUCCAGGGCUCAACCCUGGGAUGCCGGUGGAUACUGUCGGGCUCGAGUCCGGAAGAGGAGUGUGGAAUUCCUGGUGUAGCGGUGAAAUGCGCAGAUAUCAGGAGGAACACCAAUGGCGAAGGCAGCACUCUGGGACGUGAC